rnacentral:rRNA from 1 species
CAGUGAAAUUGAACUCGCUGUGAAGAUGCAGUGUACCCGCGGCAAGACGGAAAGACCCCGUGAACCUUUACUAUAGCUUGACACUGAACAUUGAGCCUUGAUGUGUAGGAUAGGUGGGAGGCUUUGAAGUGUGGACGCCAGUCUGCAUGGAGCCGACCUUGAAAUACCACCCUUUAAUGUUUGAUGUUCUAACGUUGGCCCGUAAUCCGGGUUGCGGACAGUGUCUGGUGGGUAGUUUGACUGGGGCGGUCUCCUCCUAAAGAGUAACGGAGGAGCACGAAGGUUGGCUAAUCCUGGUCGGACAUCAGGAGGUUAGUGCAAUGGCAUAAGCCAGCUUGACUGCGAGCGUGACGGCGCGAGCAGGUGCGAAAGCAGGUCAUAGUGAUCCGGUGGUUCUGAAUGGAAGGGCCAUCGCUCAACGGAUAAAAGGUACUCCGGGGAUAACAGGCUGAUACCGCCCAAGAGUUCAUAUCGACGGCGGUGUUUGGCACCUCGAUGUCGGCUCAUCACAUCCUGGGGCUGAAGUAGGUCCCAAGGGUAUGGCUGUUCGCCAUUUAAAGUGGUACGCGAGCUGGGUUUAGAACGUCGUGAGACAGUUCGGUCCCUAUCUGCCGUGGGCGCUGGAGAACUGAGGGGGGCUGCUCCUAGUACGAGAGGACCGGAGUGGACGCAUCACUGGUGUUCGGGUUGUCAUGCCAAUGGCACUGCCCGGUAGCUAAAUGCGGAAGAGAUAAGUGCUGAAAGCAUCUAAGCACGAAACUUGCCCCGAGAUGAGUUCUCCCUGAGACUUAGAGUCUCCUGAAGGAACGUUGAAGACGACGACGUUGAUAGGCCGGGUGUGUAAGCGCAGCGAUGCGUUGAGCUAACCGGUACUAAUGAACCGUGAGGCUUAACCUUACAACGCCGAAG